rnacentral:rRNA from 1 species
GCCGGAGGCCACUCGGCAGAGGGCACGCCUACCUGGGCGUCACGCACUGCGUUACCCACACUCGGCCCCAGGUGAGGGCGGAGAUUAGUCGACCAUGCUCCUCAGGGCGCGGCAGGCUGAAAGCUGUAUCUCGAUUGCCCCCGGCGGGGCUUUAGCACGGCGUUGGGUGGUCACCAGGGCUCCACGAGCUGAUGCGAUCGGACGCUAUGCACGUUGCCCCCUAGGGCACUAAGGCACCCCAGAUUGCGACGCGACCCCAGGUCAGGCGGGGGCACCCGCCGAGUUUAAGCAUAUAAUUAAGUGGAGGAAAAGAAACUUACGAGGAGGAUUCCCCUAGUAACGGCAAGCGAACCGGGAAGUGCCC